GACGAACGCUGGCGGCGUGCCUAAUACAUGCAAGUCGAGCGAAGUUUUUCUGGUGCUUGCACUAGAAAAACUUAGCGGCGAACGGGUGAGUAACACGUAAAGAACCUGCCUCAUAGACUGGGACAACUAUUGGAAACGAUAGCUAAUACCGGAUAACAGUAUUUCUCGCAUGAGAGAUAUUUAAAAGUUGGUUAUGCUAACACUAUGAGAUGGCUUUGCGGUGCAUUAGCUAGUUGGUGGGGUAAAGGCCCACCAAGGCGACGAUGCAUAGCCGACCUGAGAGGGUGAUCGGCCACACUGGGACUGAGACACGGCCCAGACUCCUACGGGAGGCAGCAGUAGGGAAUCUUCCGCAAUGGGCGAAAGCCUGACGGAGCAACGCCGCGUGAGUGAAGAAGGAUUUCGGUUCGUAAAGCUCUGUUGUUAGGGAAGAAUGGAUAUGUAGUAA
rnacentral:rRNA from 1 species